GGGCAAUUGGUCUAGGGGUAUGAUUUUCGCUUCGCAUUGUGCAAAUGCGCCUUUGUGAAAGGUCACCGGUUCGAAUCCGGUAUUGUCCA
rnacentral:tRNA from 1 species